rfam:Chlamydomonas reinhardtii strain CC-503 cw92 mt+ CHLREscaffold_54 genomic scaffold, whole genome shotgun sequence.
GGUCCUAUGGCUUAAUGGAUAAAGCGCCGGUCUACGGAGGACAAGCUGUGCACCUGGCUUCGGGUGUCGCAGCCUCUCGUGGGCAACCGGAGAUUCCAGGUUCGAUCCCUGGUAGGAUCG